AUUGAACGCUGGCGGCAGGCCUAACACAUGCAAGUCGAACGAGUGGCGGACGGGUGAGUAAUGUCUGGGAAAAUGCCUGAUGGAGGGGGAAAACUACUGGAAACGGUAGCUAAUACCGCAUACCAUCAGAUGUGCCCAGAUGGGAUUAGCUAGUAGGUGGGGUAACGGGUCACCAAUGCGACGAUCCCUAGCUGGUCUGAGAGGAGGACCAGCAACACUGGAACUGAGACACGGGCCAGACUCCUACGGGAGGCAGCAGUGGGGAAUAGUGCACAAUGGGCGCAAGCCUGAUGCAGCCAUGCCGCGUGUAUGAAGAAGGCCUUCGGGUUGUAAAGUACUUUCAGCGGGGAGGCGUUACCCGCAGAAGAAGCACCGGCUAACUCCGUGCCAGCCGCCGCGGUAAUUC
rnacentral:rRNA from 1 species